rnacentral:lncRNA from 1 species
AGACAGAUCACAAGCAGGCAGAGGGGCAGGCAGAGAGAGAGGGGAAGCAGGCUCCCUGCGGAGCAGAGAGCCCGAUGCGGGGCUGGAUCCAGGACCCUGACAUCACAAGGCCUUAUAUCCAGAGGAAACAAUGCUUAUGGAUAUUUGAUAUAUAGUGAAUAGAAGUAUUUUUGAAAUGAUGUUAUAAGGUAAAUGAUAAAGCUCCAUAUAUACCUAGAAU